rnacentral:sRNA from 1 species
UCCCAGUUUUCAGGAGUCCUCUAUCUCCUUUUCUGAAGACGUAUCCACCAGGAAUAUUGUAUAUAUCUUAUAAGUUGAUCCAACAAAACAUUUACAUAUAUCCAACCCACGACUCCACAAAAGAUUGAAUAAGUGGAAAUCAAUCGUUAUUCCCAAACAAGCCUUAUCAACGCGAGAGAAAUAUGUUACAGUGUUAAGCCAAGGGUUUGUCAUGCUCCUCCGCCAAACAAAAUAAUAAAAUACACAUUGUGCAGAAGGGAUCAAAAACAGACAGAGGAAAAGGUGUGAAUCAUCUCCCACCAAACUCCUGUAGCUGGAAGAAAGCGAUAUGAAAUAUGACCACAGUACGUGAAAAUUAUCAUCAUAAUACAAGCUGAGACUG